ACAUUGAAGCCUUGUUUACUUUCAAACAAUUGUUACAAAAAUGUAAAGUUCAAAUUUUUAUUGGAAAUAAAGUGGACACGGUUUCACAAUGACAUAAACAAAUAAAAAUGUUGUUUCACACAAAAUAAAGAUUAAAAUUCUUCAUCAAAAGCCGAAAACACAUUUAUAGGUAUCACUGUAAUGGACAAUGCCAAAGGCUUUGUAUCAGCUGCUGCUGUUGCAUGUUCGCAAGCUUCCACGUCCUGGAACUACACCAGUCUCAAGUGAGGGGCGACACAAGCGCGUGAGAACAGGAGACAACUCUGGCGCUCAGUUACGCAGGACUAUUGCUGGAAUCCCAUCUGGCCCGCGCAGAGUUCUGAGUAUCUGUUUUUGGCGCAUGCGAACUGGCGACAAACUGCAACCAGUGUGAGGGUGCUCUUCAGGCCAACGUUCCCGGUGCAGGAGCGCCCUUACAGGCGGAUGUUCUCGGAGCGACAACGAACCUACAGGCGAAUGUUCUCGAUGCUACAACGAACCUACAGGCGAAUGCUCUCGAUGCGGCAGCGAACCUACAGGCGACUGCUCUCGGUGCAGCAACGAACCUACAGGCGGACGUUCCCGGUGUGGUAAACAAUGUUCGCGAUCAGCUCUUACAGACCCUGACCCAACCACAACAACCCGAACCAAAGAAGGGUCUUUGGAAAAAUGUGAAGAGUAUAAUAUUCAACAUAUUCCUUGGUUUCUUGGAAAAAAUAUUUCAUUCACUAUGUAACUGCGGCCCUUUUAAAGUUUAAGAAGCAGGAUUAAACGUAGCGGUGGCGUGACAGAUGGCUAGAAAAAAAUACUGUGCCGCCAUGAUGUAGCAAGAAUCCGUGCUGCCACGCUGAAUUACUUGAACUCAAUUAUUCACCACCAGAGGUGAACCCGGCAUCGAUCCGUGCACGUGUCACUCAACAUGGGUCUCCUGGUGAUAUCCUGUAAGAAUCGUGUUAAUAUACAAUUCAUAUGUACCUAAAUAAUUUUAUAAAUAAAAUCUGUAUUUA